AUACGUAGGGGGCGAGCGUUGUCCGGAAUGAUUGGGCGUAAGGGGCGCGUAGGCGGCGCGGGAAGUCUGGAGUGAAAGUCCUGCUUUCAUGGUGGGAGUUGCUUUGGAUACUGCCGCGCUUGAGUGCAGGAGAGGUUAUCGGAAUUCCCGGUGUAGCGGUGAAAUGCGUAGAGAUCGGGAGGAACACCAGUGGCGAAGGCGGGUAACUGGACUGCAACUGACGCUGAGGCGCGAAAGUGUGGGGAGCAAACAGGAUUAGAUACCCUGGUAGUCCACACUGUAAACGAUGAAUGCUAGGUGUAAGAGGUAUCGACCCCGUUUGUGCCGGAGUCAACACAAUAAGCAUUCCGCCUGGGGAGUACGGCCGCAAGGUUGAAACUCAAAGGAAUUGACGGGG
rnacentral:rRNA from 1 species